rnacentral:rRNA from 1 species
CCUACGGGGUGCAGCAGUGAGGAAUAUUGGUCAAUGGACGCAAGUCUGAACCAGCCAAGUAGCGUGCAGGAUGAUGGCCCUCCGGGUUGUAAACUGCUUUUAGUUGGGAAUAAAAGGGGGCUCGUGAGCCCCGUAUUGUAUGUACCAUCAGAAAAAGGACCGGCUAAUUCCGUGCCAGAAGCCGCGGUAAUACGGAAGGUCCGGGCUUUAUCCGGAUUUAUUGGGUUUCAAGGGAGCGUAGGCCAGCUUUUAAGUCAGCUGUGAAAGUCCGCAGCUGAACCGUGGAAUUACAGUUGAAACUGGAGGCCUUGAGUGCACACAGAGAUGCCGGAAUCCAUGUGGUAGCGGUGACAUGCUUCGAGAGUAUGAAGAACACCGAGCGCGAAGGCAAGUGUCCGGGGUGCAACUGACGCUGAGGCUCGAAAGUGCGGGUAUCAAACAGGAUUAGAUACCCUAGUGGUC